GACGAACGCUGGCGGCGUGCCUAAUACAUGCAAGUUGAGCGAUGAAGCUUGGUGCUUGCACCAAUUUGAAGAGCAGCGAACGGGUGAGUAACGCGUGGGGAAUCUGCCUUUGAGCGGGGGACAACAUUUGGAAACGAAUGCUAAUACCGCAUAACAACUUUAAACAUAAGUUUUAAGGUUGAAAGAUGCAAUUGCAUCACUCAAAGAUGAUCCCGCGUUGUAUUAGCUAGUUGGUGAGGUAAAGGCUCACCAAGGCGAUGAUACAUAGCCGACCUGAGAGGGCGAUCGGCCACAUUGGGACGGAGACCCGGCCCAAACGCCUACGGGAGGCAGCAGUAGGGCAUCUUCGGCAAGGGACGAAAGUCUGACCGAGAAACGCCGAGGGAGUGAAGAAGGUUGUCGGAUCGUAAAACUCGGUUGGUAGAGAAGAACGUUGGUGAGAGUGGAAAGCUCAUCAAGUGACGGUAACUACCCAGAAAGGGACGGCUAACUACGUG
rnacentral:rRNA from 1 species